rnacentral:tRNA from 1 species
GGAGUGUGGCAAUAUUGUGGCAAAUAAUCACCAAUCGCGAUAGAUGCAUUGAUUUUAUUGAGUCUGUUUUUACGUUCGCAAUGCGAAGGUCGGGAGUUCGAUCCUCCUCCGCUCCACCA